UGCCUAGAUUGGAAGGGGAAAAUCAGAGAUAUUGUGACACAGAAUCUAGAUGGUAGAAAAGGAGCUGUUUACCCAUACCAUACUUUGACAAGUACUGAUGGUGCAUAACUACCCUGAAGGCUUUUCCUGAUACCCGAUUUGGUUAACGUUUGUUAACCAAAAGCCAGACUGCGCGGAAUAUUGUUGGCAAGUGUAAUUUUCGGCUGCUGUCAAGUCAAGUAGGCCUACUCAUCAAGUGUCAUGUUGUUUGAAAUUGUGUUCAGUUGCAUUACAGUUUCAAUUGUUCACAAGAAGUAUUUGAUAAAGUCUUACAUUGGAAGUAACAGAAGGUGGAUUUUGGGAUAUUGGCAAUUGAAUGGCCAGACAAUUGAGUCUGGUGAACAUGUUGGCAAUCGAAAGUCUGCUUUCAAGCAAACGUGCAUGCGGUGUACAUUUAUAGCUGUUCAAACAACAUGUCUACUAUGACUGUCAUGACUCCCAAACUUGUCGUGUUCACCAUUGAUGUUAGAGAGCCUAUUGCUGAACUCUACUCAGAUGCAGCGAAUGGAAAUAACAACAAAUUGAAAGAAAUGAUCAACAUGCACCCUGCCAAAAGUGAAACACGAACAGGAUUACAUGAAUCUAUACGUUAACGCGUCAACGAGAGCACAAAUUCGCCAGUGAAGUGGUCGUUUUUCUAGGCCUUCGAACCACGACUGCCGGUCAGGGUUAUUAUUUCAAGAGGGUUUUCGAUGUCAGAAGAGAUGUUACAUUUAAGAGAAAAUUCAUAUUCAAAAUAAUAGUGACUCUUUCCUGUAUGAGUAAAUAAGGUUUAAAUAAACACGAAUUUUGACCGUCA
rnacentral:lncRNA from 1 species